rnacentral:rRNA from 1 species
GUGGAUUAGGCAUGCAAGUCGAACGUGAUCCGUAGCAAUACGGUGAAAGUGGCGGAAGGGUGAGUAAUGCAUAGAUAACCUACCUCCGAAUCUGGGAUAACUCCGGGAAACUGGAGCUAAUACCGGAUGGGAUAGCUGGGUCGCAUGGUUCGGCUAUUAAAGGUGCCCUCUGAAUAUGGUACCGUUCGGGGAGGGGUCUAUGUCCUAUCAGCUAGUUGGUGAGGGUAAGAGCCCACCAAGGCUGUGACGGGUAGCCGGCCUUAGCGGGUGUCCGGCCACAUUGGGACUGAGACACUGCCCAA